CAGAUUGAACGCUGGCGGCAGGCCUAACACAUGCAAGUCGAGCGGUAGAGGGGAGCUUGCUUCUCUUGAGAGCGGCGGACGGGUGAGUAAUGCCUAGGAAUCUGCCUAGUGGUGGGGGAUAACGUUCGGAAACGGACGCUAAUACCGCAUACGUCCUACGGGAGAAAGCGGGGGACCUUCGGGCCUCGCGCCAUUAGAUGAGCCUAGGUCGGAUUAGCUAGUUGGUGAGGUAAAGGCUCACCAAGGCGACGAUCCGUAACUGGUCUGAGAGGAUGAUCAGUCACACUGGAACUGAGACACGGUCCAGACUCCUACGGGAGGCAGCAGUGGGGAAUAUUGGACAAUGGGCGAAAGCCUGAUCCAGCCAUGCCGCGUGUGUGAAGAAGGUCUUCGGAUUGUAAAGCACUUUAAGUUGGGAGGAAGGGUAGUAACUUAAUACGUUGCUACUUUGACGUUACCGACAGAAUAAGCACCGGCUAACUUCGUGCCAGCAGCCGCGGUAAUACGAAGGGUGCAAGCGUUAAUCGGAAUUACUGGGCGUAAAGCGCGCGUAGGUGGUUCAGUAAGUUGGAAGUGAAAUCCCCGGGCUCAACCUGGGAACUGCUUUCAAAACUGCUGAGCUAGAGUACGGUAGAGGGUGGUGGAAUUUCCUGUGUAGCGGUGAAAUGCGUAGAUAUAGGAAGGAACACCAGUGGCGAAGGCGACCACCUGGACUGAUACUGACACUGAGGUGCGAAAGCGUGGGGAGCAAACAGGAUUAGAUACCCUGGUAGUCCACGCCGUAAACGAUGUCAACUAGCCGUUGGGUUCCUUGAGAACUUAGUGGCGCAGCUAACGCAUUAAG
rnacentral:rRNA from 1 species